rnacentral:rRNA from 1 species
AACGAACGCUGGCGGCAUGCCUAACACAUGCAAGUCGAACGAGAUCUUCGGGUCUAGUGGCGCACGGGUGCGUAACGCGUGGGAAUCUGCCCUCAGGUUCGGAAUAACCAUUGGAAACGAUGGCUAAUACCGGAUGAUGACGUUAAGUCCAAAGAUUUAUCGCCUGAGGAUGAGCCCGCGUAGGAUUAGCUAGUUGGUGUGGUAAAGGCGCACCAAGGCGACGAUCCUUAGCUGGUCUGAGAGGAUGAUCAGCCACACUGGGACUGAGACACGGCCCAGACUCCUACGGGAGGCAGCAGUGGGGAAUAUUGGACAAUGGGCGAAAGCCUGAUCCAGCAAUGCCGCGUGAGUGAUGAAGGCCUUAGGGUUGUAAUGCUCUUUUACCCGGGAUGAUAAUGACAGUACCGGGAGAAUAAGCUCCGGCUAACUCCGUG